GCUGUUGCCUUCUCAGUUCCUCUCGUUCUCGAGCAAUACGUUCAGCUUCCUUACGUCGUUCCUUCAGACAACAUAGAAGGAAGAACCAACCAAUGCAAAAUGAAAACAUAAGGUUUCUCAGACGACCUCUUCUCUUCUUUUUUGACUGAGGCUUGUGUCCUGACCAUACCACAACACGCAAGAAAACAACAAAAUGAGGACUACUUCAUCAGUGUACCAAGAAAGUCUAUAUGCUUAUCAACAAAAUAAAUCCUUACUUGCUACUUCUA